CCUACGGGAGGCAGCAGUGGGGGAUAUUGCACAAUGGGGGAAACCCUGAUGCCUCUCCGCCCCUUUUUUUCCUCCUUUCCUCUUUCUUUUCCCCCCCUUUCCCCCUGGACGAAGAUGACGGUACCUGGGGAGGAAGCUCCGGCUAACUACGUGCCAGCAGCCGCGGUAAUACGUAGGGAGCGAGCGUUGUCCGGAAUUACUGGGUGUAAAGGGAGCGUAGGCGGGGAUGCAAGUUGGGUGUCAAAACUACCGGCUCAACUGGUAGUCGCACUCAAAACUGCAGCUCUUGAGUGAAGUAGAGGCAGGCGGAAUGCCUAGUGUAGCGGUGAAAUGCGUAGAUAUUAGGAGGAACACCAGUGGCGAAGGCGGCCUGCUGGGCUUUUACUGACGCUGAGGCUCGAAAGUGUGGGGAGCAAACAGGAUUAGAUAACCGAGUAGUC
rnacentral:rRNA from 1 species